rnacentral:lncRNA from 1 species
UAGAGAACAUGUCCUCCUUCAACUUUCAAACUGCACUUCCAUUUGUGAUUAAUUGCAGCAAUUAGACGCUAACUUAGAAAAAUGCACACAUGUCAAAAGGGAAGACCCCGUUGGACCUGAAUUUGCACACAUGUCAAAAGGGAAGACCCCGCCGGACCUGAAUUCACCUAGUUACAAUAAACAUAUGAAAUCUGGAAGAUAGUAAUGUUCAGUUACCUCAGCCAUAGAAGCAGACUUACGAUUAGUCUGAUUUUAAGGAAAAAUAUCAACAACCACAUGUCUAUGACGGUAAGUGCUAUCAAAUUUUGAACUUAUAAAAUAAACAAAACAGAGAUGGUGUUACUUGGAAAUUUUUGAGUCAUUGGCUUCAAAAUUCAGUCAGUGCAUCUACUCCUUGGAUCUGUCAAACGUCGUGGCCUAGAACUUUGAGAAAACUAAUACGUACUAUAAUUCAGGAACACUUAAUCAGGUUGUUAUAUAUCUAACAUAACAUGAUUCUUUUAUUAGUUUUAGACACAUCAUAUUGGUCCUGCUUACCCUGCUGUUGUGUUGAGGGGUUUACUUUAACUGACCCGAUGAUCAAAAUUGUCCUUGUUGAAGUCACCAACGGGGGCGAGGUCUUGGACAUGCUGUCAGCGAGGAACGUGGAUGAUCGAUGUGUUGCGAGAUAAUUUUUCUUCAAGAUCACCUUCCCUCCACGGCUCAGCAAGGACGUCAUCGACCAUUUGCGAUGGCACCAACCACAGUAACUCUGUCCUUCUCCAUAUCCCCCACACCCCCUGCCUCUCUUUGUUGAGGGAUUGAUAAAACUAUCAUUGGGGAAGCCAAAUCACAGUAGAGAGUUUCUAAUUGAGUUAGGGUUAAUAAGUAGAGAAAAUAGAGAUCUACCAGUACAGAAGGAAGGAGUUAGGUUUUUUUCUGUAUGCUACAGGGAGAUCUAUUUCUUACUUUCCGAGGGAUAGAAACACUUAUUUUAUUUUGCCAUUGCUAUCAUCUGCUUCAAGAAGCCGUAGGAAAUUGAAUCCCUGGAUAUAACUAUCAGAGGACAUGAUGAGAAAACUUGAAUCCAAACCGGAAAAAAGAAAUAUGUUUGAUAAGACGAACCUGAUCGGAGGUGAUCCAAGAGCACCAGAGAUCCAUGCCCCAACUUCCUUGUUGCAAUUUGGGAGAGACACGGAUCAGUUUACACAUGGAGAAGCAUCUGUUUGAGAAGACGAUCUUGAUCGCUGGAGAUCCCUGCCCCAACUUCCUUGUUGCAAAUUGGGAGAUGCAUGGAUCAGUUUCCACGUGGAGAAGAAGAUAGAGAUGUUAGAGACUGAGAGAGGUAUCCACAUGCACAAUUUCCUUGCUCCAAUUUGAG